rnacentral:rRNA from 1 species
GGUCUUCGGAUUGUAAAGUACUGUCUUUGGGGAAGAAUGACGGAUUUGAAAAUAUUGAGUCCGUAUGACGGUACCCAAGGAGGAAGCCCCGGCUAACUACGUGCCAGCAGCCGCGGUAAUACGUAGGGGGCAAGCGUUGUCCGGAAUUAUUGGGCGUAAAGGGCGCGUAGGCGGGUAUUUAAGUCUGGUGUGAAAGAUCAGGGCUCAACCCUGAGAGUGCAUCGGAAACUGGGUAUCUUGAGGACAGGAGAGGAAAGUGGAAUUCCACGUGUAGCGGUGAAAUGCGUAGAUAUGUGGAGGAACACCAGUGGCGAAGGCGACUUUCUGGACUGUAACUGACGCUGAGGCGCGAAAGCGUGGGGAGCAAACAGGAUUAGAUACCCUGGUAGUCCACGCCGUAAACGAUGAGUGCUAGGUGUAGAGGGUAUCGACCCCUUCUGUGCCGCAGUUAACACAAUAAGCACUCCGCCUGGGGAGUACGGCCGCAAGGUUGAAACUCAAAGAAAUUGACGG